CACCAACCCAUAUUCUCGGUCCAUUAGGGGAUGACAUAAGUUUCUUUUAGAGGCAGCAAGGGACAAUGUUCCCAAAUAAGAAUCUGACAGAACAGUAUAAGAUUAGUGUCUGUCUAUGCUCUUUUUUGGUUUGAAAAACAAAAACAAAAACAAAACAAAACCAAAACAAUGUUCCCAAACAAGAAUCUGACAGAACACUAUUAGAUUAGUGUUUGUCUAUGAUCUUUUUUGGGUUUGAAAAACCACAAGAACGUCUAUAGCAAGAACAUUACAAGAACGUCUGCCUAAUCUCUUGGGUUUGAUAAAACCACAAGAAAACAAAAAGCUUUAAAAGUCCUGUUAAAAGAGGAAAAUCGUAGUCAAAUAAAAAACAGUUCAAAAUGGAAUCCUGAUUUCAAAAAUCUCAAAACAAAACCGGGAUAAAAGCGCUUCAAAAUAAAACG